rnacentral:rRNA from 1 species
GUCAAUGGAGGCAACUCUGAACCAGCCAUGCCGCGUGCAGGAAGACUGCCCUAUGGGUUGUAAACUGCUUUUAUACAGGAAGAAACUUAGUUACGUGUAACUAACUGACGGUACUGUAAGAAUAAGCACCGGCUAACUCCGUGCCAGCAGCCGCGGUAAUACGGAGGGUGCAAGCGUUAUCCGGAAUCAUUGGGUUUAAAGGGUCCGCAGGCGGUCAAUUAAGUCAGAGGUGAAAUCCCAUAGCUUAACUAUGGAACUGCCUUUGAUACUGGUUGACUUGAGUUAUACGGAAGUAGAUAGAAUAAGUAGUGUAGCGGUGAAAUGCAUAGAUAUUACUUAGAAUACCGAUUGCGAAGGCAGUCUACUACGUAUAUACUGACGCUCAUGGACGAAAGCGUGGGGAGCGAACAGGAUUAGA